rnacentral:misc_RNA from 1 species
UUAUGUUACGCAUGAAGUAGUGGUAAUUUCAAUAGACCAAAAAAACUUGUUUAUCCUAAGAGAUCCAAUACCUAAAUGUUGACUCAGAUUUCUGGACAUGAAAAGAGUAAUUAUUUUCUAUUUUCUCAUUGGAGAAAUUAUUGAAAUUGUUCUUUAAAGAGUUUGAGAUGUCAUCUAAAGUAAGAAAACAUAAAUCUCCCAGCAGCGUCCAAAAGCACUGGAGGCAGAACAUGUGAUCAAGAAUAGGCUCAAGCAGCCAUAUUAGGAGAAAUUAUAUCCAUUAAAAUGGCAUAACCAACCGAAUGGGAGUUCAUGUCAGAAAGAAACUGUAAAUUUUGGAACCUUAUG